CACCAAUCCAGGCCCACCUGCCUCAUAGCCCCGCCCCCUCGACGCUGUGGAUUAAUACAGCUGCUGUCAACGCGCAUGCACAGUUUUCCACGAGAAAUGUCUAUGAAGUCUUGAAAUAUUGCCUCUGCAAUUUUAUUUGAGCUACAGGUUGGGGAUUUGUCCACUUCUACAGCCAAGGAUAGAACAGCCUUGGCUAUGGAUUGCUGGGGCACAUCAUGUUUCAGCUGAAAGUCAUCCUCAAGUGUCUGAACAACAUACUGUAGGAACAACAGUCGACUACCUUUGGUCAGAGAAUCGUUCCUAUGAGGAUCCUUG